rnacentral:rRNA from 1 species
AUACGUAGGGGGCGAGCGUUGUCCGGAAUGACUGGGCGUAAAGGGCGUGUAGGCGGCCGAUUAAGUCUGGAGUGAAAGUCCCGCUUUCAAGGUGGGAAUUGCUUUGGAGACUGGUUGGCUUGAGUGCGGAAGAGGUAAGUGGAAUUCCCAGUGUAGCGGUGAAAUGCGUAGAGAUUGGGAGGAACGCCAGUGGCGAAGGCGACUGACUGGGCCGUAACUGACGCUGAGGCGCGAAAGCGUGGGGAGCGAACAGGAUUAGAUACCCUGGUAGUCCACGCUGUAAACGAUGAAUGCUAGGUGUAGGGGGUAUCGACCCCUCCUGUGCCGGAGUAAACGCAAUAAGCAUUCCGCCUGGGGAGUACGGCCGCAAGGUUGAAACUCAAAGGAAUUGACGGGG